AGGAAUGGUGUAGUGACUGCAGCUUUGAGAAUUCAGCUGAUGAGUGUGGUUUGAGCUUGGUCAAAUUGGUGAGCUCCGGGGUCUGUGUACUAGCAGGUCAUUACCUUCGGGUAGUGAUGCGCGAUGCACUUAUCAAGUGUUGUGCGCCCCGGUUGUUCGCGGCCUACUUGUCAGUGCACUUUCUCAUAGUGGUCACCACGACCCGGCGUUGCUGUCUGGCUGCUUUGGUUAAACCGGUCAUACAUAGUCCUUGUGGCUUUGCUUGGUCGGGAUGGCAGGUAGCUCGUUGACUUGCUUGUGGCUUGCUGCAGGCGUUAAGUUUUCGAGUGUAAUCAGCUGACCUUUGUGGUUCUGUGCAGUGCGUCGGAGACAGCGGCUUGUGGUGUGUGCAUGCGUUCUGUUUGCUGACAUAUCCGAGUUUGGUUAUUAUGUUGCCUGUUCAAGCAGGCCUGGUGAUGGCUCGGAUUUGUUCGGUAAGCAGUUGCGUGUGUGGCACUAUUCCAAGGGCCAACAGUCUGUGGUGUAGUGGUAGACUUUCCACCCGAACCGUCUUGAAACACGGACCAAGGAGAGUUACAUGUACGCGAGUCAUUGGGCGUUACGAAACCCAAAGGCGUAGUGAAAGUGAAGGCUUGACUUGUUCAGGCUGAAGUGAGAUCCUGUCGUUUCUUACGCGCGGUACUUCCAAGCAUCGAGCGGCAGGCGCAUCACCGGCCCGUCCCAUGGCAGUUGUUUUCGAACAGUUUUCGGUCGGGGCGGAGCAUGAGCGUACAUGUUGAGACCCGAAAGAUGGUGAACUAUGCUUGCGCAGGUUGAAGCCAGAGGAAACUCUGGUGGAGGACCGCAGCGAUUCUGACGUGCAAAUCGAUCGUCAAACGUGAGUAUAGGGGCGAAAGACUAAUCGAACCAUCUGAGGGUCCCC
rnacentral:rRNA from 1 species